rnacentral:rRNA from 1 species
UGAAUACGAGACGCUAAGGCGUCGAAGUAGUGUAUGUCAUACUUCCAAGAAAAGCUUGCACUGUCAUAGAUAAAAAACGCCUGUACCAUAACCGACACAGGUGGGUAGGUAGAGUAUACUAAGGGGCGCGAGAUAACUCUCUCUAAGGAACUCGGCAAAAUAACUCCGUAACUUCGGGAGAAGGAGUGCCUUAUUAUUAAGGCUGCAAUAACAAGAUCCAAGCAACUGUUUAUCAAAAACACAGGUCUCCGCUAAGUCGUAAGACGAUGUAUGGGGGCUGACGCCUGCCCAGUGCCAGAAGGUUAAAGAAGUUGGUUAGCAUUUGCGAAGCUGAUAACUGAAGCCCUGGUGAACGGCGGCCGUAACAAUAACGGUCCUAAGGUAGCGAAAUUCCUUGUCGGGUAAGUUCCGACCCGCACGAAAGGCGUAAUGAUUUGGAUACUGUCUCGGAGAGGGGCUCGGUGAAAUAGACUUGUCUGUGAAGAUGCGGACUACCUGCACCAGGACAGAAAGACCCUAUGAAGCUUUACUGUAACUUGAAAUUGAAAUUGGACUUUAUUCGCGCAGCAUAGGUGGGAGGCGUUGAUUAUAAUCUUGUGGGAUUAUUGGAGCCAUCAGUGAGAUACCACUCUUGUAAUGUUAGAUUUCUAACUUUGAAUCAUUAUCUGGUCAAAGAACAGUUUCAGGCGGGCAGUUUGACUGGGGCGGUCGCCUCCUAAACGGUAACGGAGGCGUACAAAGGUUUCCUCUGAACGGUUAGAAAUCGUAUCUAGAGUGUAAAGGCAUAAGGAAGCUUGACUGUGAGACCUACAAGUCGAGCAGGGACGAAAGUCGGUCUUAGUGAUCUGACGGUACUGAGUGGAAAGGCCGUCACUCAACGGAUAAAAGUUACUCUAGGAUAACAGGCUGAUCUCCCCCAAGAGUUCACAUCGACGGGGAGGUUUGGCACCUCGAUGUCGGCUCAUCGCAUCCUGGGGCGGUAGUACGUCCCAAGGGUUGGGCUGUUCGCCCAUGAAAGCGGUACGCGAGCUGGGUUCAGAACGUCGUGAGACAGUUCGGUCCAUAUCCGGUGUAGGCGUUAGAAUAUUGAGAGGAGCCUUCUUUAGUACGAGAGGACCGAGAAGGACAUACCUCUGGUGUACCAGUUAUCGUGCCAACGGUGAACGCUGGGUAGCUAUGUAUGGAGUGGAUAACCGCUGAAAGCAUCUAAGUGGGAAGCCCACCUCAAGAUAAGUA